CUACGGGUUGCACCAGUGAGGAAUAUUGCACAAUGGAGGAAACUCUGAUGCAGCAACGCCGCGUGGAGGAUGAUGCAUUUCGGUGUGUAAACUCCUUUUAUAUGUCAAGAAAAUGACGGUAGCAUAUGAAUAAGCACCGGCUAACUGCCGUGCCAGCAGCCGCGGUAAUACGGAGGGUGCAAGCGUUACUCGGAAUCACUGGGCGUAAAGGACGCGUAGGCGGGAUAUCAAGUCAGGUGUGAAAUCCUACAGCUUAACUGUAGAACUGCACUUGAAACUGGUAACCUAGAGUAUGGGAGGGGGAGAUGGAAUUAGUGGUGUAGGGGUAAAAUCCGUAGAUAUCACUAGGAAUACCUAAAGCGAAGGCGAUCUCCUGGAACAUAACUGACGCUAAGGCGUGAAAGCGUGGGGAGCAAACAGGAUUAGAUACCCGGGUAGUC
rnacentral:rRNA from 1 species